rnacentral:lncRNA from 1 species
AUGUCCCCGUUGUUGGAUUUCUCGCAGCGAAGUUGAUCGAGCUUUUGGUUGGAGCCCAAACACGUUACACAUACAUGUCUGGUUCUUGAGACAUAUACGAAACAAAGUGGUAUGUUAUGUGCUCCAAACUAGAAGUAUUAUAAAUAGUUUGAUAUGUAUGUUUAAGCGGCAUUCAUAUUCAAGUUCUUUUUUCAUAACAUUUUCUCAUGGAAUUAUGAAUAUGAUUUUAUGGCAUAAUGAUGUUUCAUUAACUUUUUCGACGCGAUCCAUUAAUAUCUUGUAGAGAUCUACAUGGAACACCGUCACAUAGAUAAACCAUUAACGUUAGGUGUUACAUCAUCAUAAAUGACUAGUUGAGACCCGCUGAGUCAUACAUGUGAGUCUAGGCACGAGUUAGCAAAGUUCAGCGAGUAUCAUUACAACUUCACUACCCAACCUUGUCAUCUACAAUCGACAUGUCUAAACCAUCUUUACUUUCCUGCCUGCAUGUACACAUCGAGUUUUCGAAAACACGCGUUGGCUACAAAGCUGAGUAGUAUAAGGGGUGACAAACAAGUUGCGACUCGGAUUGUGUCUUUAUUUAUGGUUGUCAAAUACAAGCUCUUGAUUUGUGCAUAUAAGCUUGCAAAGUGAUACAUUUAUGUCACUCUAUACCACAUCUAUAUUCACCUUCCCUUGUUCAUAUUUUCUCUAUGUUUAUCUUUCUUUCUUUAUUUUCAUUACCUUUAUUUGGAGUUUUUAGAAAAAAAAAAUCUAUUAAUAUAAGAAAAUUACUCUAGUAAUCAUAACCAAAACAAAAUUUAUAAUGUGGUCAAAAGAAAAUUUUGUUGCAUCAUAACCUCUUAGAAAAUUCCUUGAAAACGAUCUUUCAAGUUUCAAGUGUAAGAUAGAUAACCAGAUACCAAUUGUUAGGUAACUAGUACUGAGCCCCCUGCGUUGUGUGUGUGUGUGGUUGGGGGGGGGGGGGUAACAUCAUGCUAUGCAAGUCAAAGACGACAAACUGGGAAAAACAUAAAACAAAAACACGAAUUUAUAUCAUCAAGUGACUCACAUAACGUAAAAUGUAUACGGACACCUAUUAGAAAGUUGAGGUGGUCAAAAUAAUGCUAUAUAAUGUUUUUAGAAACCGAGAGCAAAAGUGACAACUUUGAAAUUUAAGGGUAUGGAAAAAAUUACACUAAAAAGAAAAAUAAUUGAGGGAGACUUUUGACCACCAAAGAAACUUAGGUGGCCAAAAACAAACUCAUGAAAUACGUAAGUUUGUUUAUAGUUUUGGAGGAAACAAAAACUAGAGAUUUUUCAAAGUCAAAAUCUUGCUAUUUUCUUUGGAGUUUGACCCACUCAACGGGUUAUUUAUCACACAUCCAAUUAGUACAUAUCAGAACACUUUCGAGUGUUUCUAA